rnacentral:tRNA from 1 species
CGUUAUUAGUAUAAAGAUUAUAUUUGACUUCCAAUCAAAAGAUCGUGGUUUUCCCACGGUAACGUA